UUUUAUUUGUUUUACUUUGGGAACUAAAAUACUAGCACAGGCUGACAUGAGAAACAAGGAAAACUACAAGACAUCAACACAUAUAUGUUCAGCAACUAGUAUGAAAGAGAAGAAUUAAGAUCAAGGGACAUGAACAGAAGUACUUCACAUCACAAGCAUAUAUAUACUCACACGUACAUAGCUAACACAGGGACUAAGAAUUAAAGAGGUUCAAACAACUCACUUGACAGAGAGCACAAACAACACAAAAUAAUCACAAUAGGUAAUCAGAAUAUCAUGGGAAACUAACUGACAGAAAAUUCACAUAUAUUGAAAUAGUAAUUAUCAUGUCUCCACUCUAAAUGUUCACAGAAAUUACACACACACACAUAAACUAUUCUAGUUCUUGCAGAUCAACAGAAUACAUCCAGACAAGGACAAAUCCGAAUUUCACAGGAUCCCACUCACAUCUAAUACAUAGAUAUUUCAGAGAGGGAGAGAGAACAGUAGCAAGUGUUGGAGAAGGAGAAAGUGAUUCAGAAGAAGAAGCAGGGAGGUUUUCUUCAGAAAGGAACAGCAGCAGCGUGGAGGCUUGGAGAAGAAGCACUAGCAAGAGGUUGAGAGAGCAGCAGCAGGGACGAGGGAAGGAGUAGCGAGAGAAGUUGGGGAAGCAGCAGCAGCAGUGACAGAAGAAGAAGAAGCAUCAUCGAGGGAAGAAGAAGCAACAGCGAAGGGGUUCAGAGAAGAGGGAUGCAGCGAGCAGCAGAGAGAGAUAGGCGAAGGGAGUUGCAGCAAGGUAAGGGAAGAAGGACCAGACGCCCGUCUGGCGGGUCGCGCGAGUGGCGCUGGAGAUGGUGGUGGUGAUGCGGCGCUAGUGGCGGCGAUGUGGAUGGAUGAUGGCGGAUGGUGCAGCGGCGGGUGAUGGAGAUGGCGAGGAUGGGUGGCUGGGUGGCGCUGGUUGGCGCACCGCCGCGCCGGCCUGGCCGCGGCGGCGGCCGGUGGUGGAAAAGGCGGUUGAGGGAGAUGGAGCUGCCAGGCCUGAUCCAAAAAAUUGGUUGCGCUAGGGAUUUUGUUCCCCUUUUCUCAGCUGCCACUGUUGCACUUUGGCCCUCCUCUUCUCAACUUUCUACACAAGAAGAUCCAUUCUUCACUUAGUUCGCACCCCUGGAUACUUCUUCCUUCACAAUUUGGUCCCUCUUCUCUUCCUGCCCAAAGUCUUGUUCCUCAAUAUUCUUCUUUCCUGCUCUUGACUCUUCUCAUUAUCACGAAGUUUAUAGUGCCUUCUCGCACUUUUCUGCAAGAUAAACAAACGAAUAGUAAAUGAUACCCUUUUAUGAUUAUCAAGCAAGUAUUCAAUAUUUCACAGCAAGAAUUGAUGGCCAGAUCACAAUAAAUGGUAUAUUUGUGUGCCCAAAUUGUAUAUAUGAAAUGUGCUUAUCAAGUUCCCCCACACUUAAAUCUUUGCUUGUCCUCAAGCAAAGGAAUAUGACAAAGGCAAGAUAGUGAACAGUAAACUGACUAGAGAAUGUCAAGUGAAGUAGAUCUCUAAACAGUGCAUGCUUUGGACUUGGCUAGUGAAAAUUAAUGGUUAAGAGUGCUACAUAUCAAUAGGACACUAGUAAACUCGACCAUUUUAAACUAUUACAAUGAUAAAAGAAGAUCACAAGUUCAAAUGUUGAUUGUGCCAAAAGUUUCCUAAAGAGAGCCUGAUCCCGAGAAUAAAAGAAAGUUGUGAACCACUUAUUGAAUUUGAAAGAAAGACACAUAUUAUUUUAUUAGUCUCACCAAAGGAACAUACCACCGAUCCCGAGAACAUGGUAUACACCUGGCUCAACCAAGUAUUUUUUUUCUCCCCAAAGGAACAUACCACCGAUCCCGAGAACAUGGUAUACACCUGGUUCGACAAUUACAUUUUUAUUUAUUUAUUACUGUCCAAGCUACCAGAUUUCACAUGCCACCGAUCCAGGGAACAUGACAUGCUACUGUAGGUAGACCAGACUUAUUCAUUAUAAGAUAUACUUUUUUACUUUUCAAAUUAACAAAAACAAGAAUCAUCACUCAUCCAUGUCUGGUUCACAUACUACCGAUCCAGGGAACAUAGCAUGCUAAUCCAUAGUGGUAAGUGAUUGCUCUGAAUGGGAACACAAUAGGCACAAACUCAGCAUCUGACACUUAAUGAUCUAGGUGUAUCAAGGUAAAAGCAAAAAAUGAAUAAAUUUUCUAGUGUACUAUGGAUUUGAGCACUCAAAACUAAUAGUUUUCACUAAUUUUAGCAAAGCACGCAAUAUGUAGAUCACUAGUUUACAUGGCAUUCAACAAUCAGUUCGCAUAUUCUCAUCAAGCACCAUAUGUCAAAUAAAAUUCAGUGGGGCAACAUUUAAGAAAUGGCUUAAUAAGCAACCCAAAUAACAUUUGAUUUCAGCAUGUAUCAAUGAAUGAUAUACUCGGAAUGGGUCAUGAAACAGCUCACCGGGCACUAUGAAGUAGCACUCGCUUGAUCACUCUCUAAGCUGCUGCUCUUCUCCUUUGCUUCCUCAUGGAUGCUCCAGCUUCACUCUUCUUCGUGUGUGCCCCCUUGCUUCUCCUCAUCCCCAUGCUCUGAGUCCACCAGGGUCCCAAGGAAUGUCACCUCGAACCUGGUCAGCAUGUAGUGGAUCGUGCACAAGCAAAAACCUGAAAGAACUCUCAACAAAAGAGACAAUCCAAGUGGUAGGGAUAAUACCCUCCAAGUCGUCAAUCGAAUAUCCAAUUACAUAAGCAUAGCUAUAAAGCACAUGUUUAGGAUGGUAGAAAUCAGCAAGGUCAACACUAACAUGAGGAUGAAAUUUAUCAUUAAGCUCAAGACUAGCAUGGGAAUAAUAUGUUUCAUUAAGCAUAGGACUAGCAUAAGGAAAAUAAGUGUCAUCAUCAGGAAUGAGAGCAAUGCCACCAACAGUGUAUGUAUGAUCAUGUCCAAGCAAAUAAUUUUUCAAGUCUAGCUUGAUUGAUGGUAUAACGCAAUGGAAAGUAGCAGCAAAGAUCUCAUAAGGAAGCAUGUCAUCAAGAGGAUUGGAUAAACCUGCUAAAUCACGCUCCUGUAUGACGAUGGGCAAAUGCUUUUCUGGUUCUUCAUCUUCAAUCACAUCAACUUCUUUUGCUUCUUCAAGAGUAAUAGAUGAUGAGUCUUCAACUUGAUCACUUUGUUGUUCGAGCUCUGGAUCAUCUUGUUCCUUGUCUUCAAGUAUUUCUUCUUCAAUCUGAGGUCUUUCUUCCUCUGGACUCUUUCUAUCUUGCUCAGCUGGAUGUGACGGUAUUGGAACCUCACAUGUAUCAAGGGGAAUCUUGGCAACACUCAGCUCAAGGAGGGAGGAGAUAGUACUGCCAGCGCUGAUGUUCUUCUCAAUCUUCCUUACUUCUUCCACUAGCUCUUUUCCACUCUUGAUCUUCUUCAUUUCCUCUAGUAUCACCAGCCUAAUUGGAUCAUCUUCGGCACUCCAAGUGAACUCGAGACUAAGCAAUGUGAGCUUGUCUAUAUCAUCAAAAUCAUCUUGUGUGGGCACUUGUGUUGAAGGUGUUGGUUGACCAAAUGGAGGACCAUUUAACUCCAUUGGCAACAUCUCCUGGUGUUGAGGUAUAUGAGUAGGAGAUGAAUACAAUUGCUGUGGUGCAUAGUUGUUGCUCUCCUCUUCAUACCUAAAUCCCUGCAUUGGAUAACUAGAGGCAAACGAUGAGAUCUCAGGGUUGUUGCUCCUAUAUGACAUAUUCUGGUUUUCAGGCCACCCAUAUGAGUAAUUGUUUUGGUAUGAGCUAGGCUAUGGGGCGAAGCUCAUGCCAUAACAAUCGGGAGGGUGAGAGUAACCAUGCUGACAUUCAGCGGGUGAAUGGCCCUGAAAUCCACAAAUAUGGCAUGUAGGAGCAACAUAAGGAUGACCUCUAGAAUAAGGAUCAUAAGAGCUAGGCCUAUCCUCAAAAACUACUUCUCGCUGCCGAGUUAAAUCAUCUAAUCGAUGGGAAAUCUUACUUAUCAGGUCUUGAAUACUUUCCGUGUUGUUUGUAGUGUUGCUCGCAUAAGCAUGAUGAUCUGAAUAGUAAGCCAUAUCUGAGAAGAUGCAAUAACCUGCAGAAUGACCAAGCAAAGAAAGAGAAAAUAACUUGAACAAGGGUUAGGGGUUAGAGAUAUAUCACAUAUAUAUAGCACAAAGGGAAAAACAAGAAAACCCUAGUCUAUAACCUCACAGAAUCGCUCGACGCUAGUCCCCGGCAACGGCGCCAAAAUGAUCAUUUGUAAAAUAGCGUGGUUUUUACGCCCCAAACUACGGAUGUCGUGUUCUCCACAGGUACCUAGAACUUCGAAGCACACAUUCGAAACAUUCAGAACAACUGAACAGAUGAAGCAAACCGUAAUGACAACAAGUAGCCACUGGAACAAGGUAAAACAAAAUAAUAUGCAGCAAAGGUAAAGGGUUCAGAAAUAGGACUGUCUCUUUUUUAGUGGUUUUCUUGUGAUCAAACAGACAAGUAACACUAGCACAUGGAAGAUGGCUCAGACAUCACACACAACUCAUGCAACCAAUUAAAGUGACAGCAGCUCACAGGGGAAUAACUACUAACUUAAUAUCCAGCAAAGGGUCACAACAAUUCAGCAAGGAUACAUGAGGAUUCAGCAAAGGUGUACAGGUAAUAGAGUAAAUUUCAGACCCAAUAGUGCAUAUAUUUAGAGAAUAGGAACAAGAGAAGAGAGAGUUCAGAGCCUAUGGGUCUUGAUGAUCUUCAAUUCGAAGCUGUAUAUGUUGCAGGCGAAGAAGAGUAGCAGCAGAGGCACGUUGGAGACGAUCUUCCGUGGAGCACCAGAAGGCCCGACGCCCCUGGCCUCGGUCGAUCCUCUCCCUCUCAGCAGCGAGGAGGAAGAGAGAAGGAGUGGCAGAGAUCGUCGGUCAGGGAGGUCGCAGCAGCAGGAGUUGGAGCUGAGCAGCGGUGGUCGAUCUUGAGGUUGGAGACGAGGAAGUGCAGCAGGUCAGCGUCGUCAUUGGAGAGGAGCGGUGGAUCGCCGGUAAGAUCGGGGCAGCUUCGUGGUGGAUCGGGCACCACCGCCAGUCUCCCGGCACCCUCUUCUCCCUCUCUCUCCUUCGAUCUGGUUCUUCUGCUGGUUCCCCUCAAUCCCCUGGUUCGAUCUGGUGGUAGGUGAGUAGCAUGGAGGACAGCGAGGAGGAGGAGAGAAAAAGGCAGUCGACCCUUGUGGUUUUCUUUCCUUCGACCCCCUCUACUCCUCUGCUCUCUCGUGGCCUCGCGCGUGGGAUUAGACAUGCGUCUGGUUGGUUGCGCUAGACCAGCCCCUUCUCACGCGCACAAGCAGACAUCUGCUCUUCUCUGUCUGACUAGGUGCACAAGUCCCUGGUUCUUUUCAGCUCUCCCCUUCUAGUUCUAUCUUUUCGCACAAGAUGAUCCCUAGCUUGAAGGUUGUAAACACUUUCGAUGAAGUUUGGGUGCCUAAACG
rnacentral:lncRNA from 1 species